rnacentral:rRNA from 1 species
GAUGAACGCUGGCGGCGUGCCUAAUACAUGCAAGUCGAGCGAACGGACGAGAAGCUUGCUUCUCUGAUGUUAGCGGCGGACGGGUGAGUAACACGUGGAUAACCUACCUAUAAGACUGGGAUAACUUCGGGAAACCGGAGCUAAUACCGGAUAAUAUUUUGAACCGCAUGGUUCAAAAGUGAAAGACGGUCUUGCUGUCACUUAUAGAUGGAUCCGCGCUGCAUUAGCUAGUUGGUAAGGUAACGGCUUACCAAGGCAACGAUGCAUAGCCGACCUGAGAGGGGGAUCGGCCACACUGGGACGGAGACACGGUCCAGACUCCUACGGGAGGCAGCAGUAGGGAAUCUUCCGCAAUGGGCGAAAGCCUGACGGAGCAACGCCGCGUGAGUGAUGAAGGUCUUCGGAUCGUAAAACUCUGUUAUGAGGGAAGAACAUAUGUGUAAGUAACUGUGCACAUCUUGACGGUACCUAAUUAGAAAGCCACGGCUAACUACGUG